AUAUUGGACAAUGGGGGCAACCCUGAUCCAGCCAUGCCGCGUGCGUGAAGAAGGUCUUUGGAUUGUAAAGCACUUUAAGUUGGGUGGAAGGGCUUUAGGUUAAUACCAUGAAGUUUGGACGUUAUCAACAGAAUAAGCACCGGCUAACUCUUUGCCAGCAGCCGCGGUAAUACAGGGGGUGCAAGCGUUAAUCGGAAUUACGGGUCGUAAAGCGCGCGUAGGUGGUUCAGUAAGAUGGGUGUGAAAUCCCCGGGCUUAACCUGGGAACUGCUUUCAUAACUGCUGAGCUAGAGUACGGUAGAGGGUAGUGGAAUUUCCUGUGUAGCGGUGAAAUGCGUAGAUAUAGGAAGGAACACCAGUGGCGAAGGCGACUACCUGGACUGAUACUGACACUGAGGUGCGAAAGCGUGGGGAGCAAAC
rnacentral:rRNA from 1 species